GAUGAACGCUGGCGGUAUGCUUAACACAUGCAAGUCGAACGGUCACUUCGGUGAUAGUGGCGGACGGGUGAGUAACGCGUGAGAAUCUGUCUUCAGGUCGGGGACAACAGUUAGAAAUGACUGCUAAUACCGGAUGUGCCUUUGGGUGAAAGAUUUAUUGCCUGAAAAAGAGCUCGCGUCAGAUUAGCUAGUAGGUGGUGUAAGAGACUACCUAGGCUCCGAUCUGUAGCUGGUCUGAGAGGACGAUCAGCCACACUGGAACUGAGACACGGUCCAGACUCCUACGGGAGGCAGCAGUGGGGAAUUUUCCGCAACGGGCGAAAGCCUGACGGAGCAAUACCGCGUGAGGGACGAAGGCUUUUGGGUCGUAAACCUCUUUUCUCAAGGAAGAUGAUGACGGUACUUGAGGAAUAAGCAUCGGCUAACCCUGUG
rnacentral:rRNA from 1 species